rnacentral:rRNA from 1 species
UCGACGAUUAGAGUUUGAUCCUGGCUCAGGACGAACGCUGGCGGCGUGCCUAAUACAUGCAAGUCGAACGAACUCUGGUAUUGAUUGGUGCUUGCAUCAUGAUUUACAUUUGAGUGAGUGGCGAACUGGUGAGUAACACGUGGGAAACCUGCCCAGAAGCGGGGGAUAACACCUGGAAACAGAUGCUAAUACCGCAUAACAACUUGGACCGCAUGGUCCGAGUUUGAAAGAUGGCUUCGGCUAUCACUUUUGGAUGGUCCCGCGGCGUAUUAGCUAGAUGGUGAGGUAACGGCUUACCAUGGCAAUGAUACGUAGCCGACCUGAGAGGGUAAUCGGCCACAUUGGGACUGAGACACGGCCCAAACUCCUACGGGAGGCAGCAGUAGGGAAUCUUCCACAAUGGACGAAAGUCUGAUGGAGCAACGCCGCGUGAGUGAAGAAGGGUUUCGGCUCGUAAAACUCUGUUGUUAAAGAAGAACAUAUCUGAGAGUAACUGUUCAGGUAUUGACGGUAUUUAACCAGAAAGCCACGGCUAACUACGUGCCAGCAGCCGCGGUAAUACGUAGGUGGCAAGCGUUGUCCGGAUUUAUUGGGCGUAAAGCGAGCGCAGGCGGUUUUUUAAGUCUGAUGUGAAAGCCUUCGGCUCAACCGAAGAAGUGCAUCGGAAACUGGGAAACUUGAGUGCAGAAGAGGACAGUGGAACUCCAUGUGUAGCGGUGAAAUGCGUAGAUAUAUGGAAGAACACCAGUGGCGAAGGCGGCUGUCUGGUCUGUAACUGACGCUGAGGCUCGAAAGUAUGGGUAGCAAACAGGAUUAGAUACCCUGGUAGUCCAUACCGUAAACGAUGAAUGCUAAGUGUUGGAGGGUUUCCGCCCUUCAGUGCUGCAGCUAACGCAUUAAGCAUUCCGCCUGGGGAGUACGGCCGCAAGGCUGAAACUCAAAGGAAUUGACGGGGGCCCGCACAAGCGGUGGAGCAUGUGGUUUAAUUCGAAGCUACGCGAAGAACCUUACCAGGUCUUGACAUACUAUGCAAAUCUAAGAGAUUAGACGUUCCCUUCGGGGACAUGGAUACAGGUGGUGCAUGGUUGUCGUCAGCUCGUGUCGUGAGAUGUUGGGUUAAGUCCCGCAACGAGCGCAACCCUUAUUAUCAGUUGCCAGCAUUAAGUUGGGCACUCUGGUGAGACUGCCGGUGACAAACCGGAGGAAGGUGGGGAUGACGUCAAAUCAUCAUGCCCCUUAUGACCUGGGCUACACACGUGCUACAAUGGAUGGUACAACGAGUUGCGAACUCGCGAGAGUAAGCUAAUCUCUUAAAGCCAUUCUCAGUUCGGAUUGUAGGCUGCAACUCGCCUACAUGAAGUCGGAAUCGCUAGUAAUCGCGGAUCAGCAUGCCGCGGUGAAUACGUUCCCGGGCCUUGUACACACCGCCCGUCACACCAUGAGAGUUUGUAACACCCAAAGUCGGUGGGGUAACCUUUUAGGAACCAGCCGCCUAAGGUGGGACAGAUGAUUAGGGUGAAGUCGUAACAAGGUAACC